rnacentral:misc_RNA from 1 species
AGAGAGAGGUAGGUAUUAAGACAACUAUUAACUGGAAAUUGAAAACAAAGAGUGGGUGUGAGUGAAGAGCACUAACCAAACAAGUCCAUCUUCGGCCACUUAUCUGGCAAUUUGGCAGUGUCAAAACCAACCAAAUCUUCCCUGUAUCAUCGAUUAAACCUGGUUGGUUUGCCUUUCACCAAAAAUGUGAGUUCCAAUCAGAAAGGAGAAGAGGAAUUGCUGGUGCCUUUUUUUU